AAGUUUAGAAAUGGGCGCAGAGUCAGCCAAUCAAGGGCGGGAAAACUCGGAGGGUUGAAAAUGGGGCGCAUGCGCAAUAGCAGAAGCAGCGGGCGGGUCCAGGCACAGCCGCCAGCCAGGCUGCACCCGGCUGUGGCAGCCACGGGCAGGGGCGGAGCCCGCCGUAUAUGGGAGCUGCUUGGGGACAAACUGUGUAGGGUGCGCUCUCGGGCGGGCAGGGCUUCAACACCCUACCAGCUGUAGAGUCGCUGAGAGCAACCAAGACAACCAAGAACAGCAGCCUACACGUGUACAUAAUCCUCUGAUUCCAACACCACCUUGCGAUUUGACACAACCGACAAAGUGCUGCGGCCCACGGAACACGAACAGCAAGCCUGCGGAUUUUAAACUAGAAGCAGCGAGGUUUCUCGCCAGAGAAAUGACUGAACAGCCACCCCUUGAUUAAUUUACUCUCUGCACCAAGAAAAAUGAAUAAACAGGAAGGUUUUUAAGGGC
ensembl:antisense Kif16bos kinesin family member 16B, opposite strand